AAGAAAUAACAAUACAGGGCAAUUGUCUUGUAAUUGGAAUGAUGGUGACCUAAACCCUCACCAGAGUAACAAUUGGAGGGCAAGUCUGGUGCCAGCAGCCGCGGUAAUUCCAGCUCCAAUAGCGUAUAUUAAACUUGUUGCAGUUAAAAAGCUCGUAGUUGAAUUUCUGCGUUAUCGAGUUAUUGACUCUUGUCUUUAAUCGAUUUCGCUUUUGGGAUUUAUCCCUUUUUACUUUGAGAAAAUUAGAGUGUUUCAAGCAGACUUUUGUCUUGAAUACUUCAGCAUGGAAUAAUAGAGUAGGACUUUGGUUCUAUUUUGUUGGUU
rnacentral:rRNA from 1 species